AUGACUGAAUCUAGAAAACAGAAGAUGACUUUUGUUACAGGAAGCACAGUUCCCUUCUCAGCAUUUUCCUGGCAUGGUUUAGAAGAGUUCAGCUGCAGGGUCCCCACCCAUGGCUGGCCAGUGACCUUGUGCUGCUGCAGAGCUUCCAGUCCUUCAUCUGCUCGGCAAAAGGAUGAUUCUGGAAACUUCCCUGUGUUGCUCCAGUUUGAUGUGAGCUGGAUACAUGGCCAGGGUUCAGCUGGCUCUUUGCAGGGGGUUGGGAAGUGAGAUAGGGGAGCCCACCGGUGUGGUGGGCCUUAGUAGCCCAUCCACCACGCAGCAGCUCCUCGGGUUUUAAGUUUGAAUCUACAAUCAGCCCGUCAUGCAAUUUACAUACUUUUGUUUAAAGGGUGAAGAAAUGGGAUCCAGGAACCUUAGUCAAUGAGUCUAGAAACACCGGGGCAAGUAAGGGUACCUUGCGAAAAGAAACUCACACACAUGCGUAGGUCCCCAAAAUGUCUGAGCUUGGAGCGUGCAGUUUACACACGUGCACUUUAUAGCCUGUCCCCAAAAGUCUUUUUUAGUGUCAUCUGCAAAUGGGCCUUGGGGUAACCCCAGAACAUGCCCUGCUGUCCCAGGAUGCUGUCCCUUCUCUGUCACAUUGCCUUCUCUGUGGGGCGAUAAAUGAGGGCAUGACCCUUGCUAACAGACAGACAUCGCUGUGGGAGUUUCAUUUUUAUGUCUCUUGAGUAUCACUGCAGCGAGGAUCCCACGGGAGGCAGCUUCUUCAGGAGGCUCGGGGGGAGGUUCAGUGUGGGGGACAGCAAAGGGUGAGCAGAUGAAGGGGAGUUAGUGUCUGGGCAGGCUCAGAAUGGGGAGAGUUUUUCUUCAAGACCUGCUCCCACAUUCCCUGUCCUCUCUCGCUUAACCAUUUCUGAAGCCAUGCAAUUGCCAGUAUUGGGGCAUUUGAACUAAAAAAAGUUAAAGCUGUGAGCUUCCUCUGUCCUUGUUGUGGCUGAUGGACUUACUCCGGCUCGAACCGUUCCCUGAGAUCUCUUCUUUACCUUUAUUAUUUACACCAGUUUUCGGUAGAUUAAUUCGUUGUUGAAAGGGAGAAUGAGAGAAUUUGUGUGCUGCAGGUUAGCAAAAGACACCGAGAUGCAAAAGCUGGGAGGUACAAGAUGAGUCUGUGUUAAAAGCCUUGCAGCAGCCGGGGAGAGCUAACCCUGGAGAUGCUGGCACAUGCAGAGCUCAACCAUAUGGAAAGGCUCCACAGGCUCAAGCGCAG
rnacentral:lncRNA from 1 species